CUUCCCCGCGAUUUGGUCGGGUCUGACAAGAGACGGGAGCGGGGUCGCAAAGCGGGCGCGACGAAGGGCCGCGACCGUCCCCUGCGGUGUGGGGUGGAACUGCACGCGGGCCUCAGACCGCGAGCCUGAGGGGACGUGAGCGCACGCCUGAGGAAAACUCGAGAGACAAAUUGAGAAACUUGAGUUUCUGUAUAUAAGUCAUACCGUGGUAAAGUUGUCUCCCACUUUAAUGAAGAGGGGUAUUUCGGUGGAGCUUUGACCACACAGCAAGAAUGAAACGGAGACACUGCACUUCCCAGUUAGCUGCAACGCAGGGAAGAACGGGGACUCUGGGACUGCCGCAUAGCACGGCUCUUGCUGCUGGCUUUGGUCUGGAGUCCACUUUUUGAUUUGGUCGGGAUCCUAAGGAGCCUGCCAACCCCAGAUGGUCAGAUCCAAUCCUGUGAGAGGCCAUCAGUGCAGGAACUCGGUCUCAACACAAACAAAAGGGAAGUGAGUUGUGGGUGAGUGAGCCACACCUGCUGAUGUCUCUGCGGGCUAACUGAAGUGGGGUUCAGGCCCAGGACCUUGGGAUGUACAAACUGGCUAAAUGAACAUCAAUUUGUCUACCAAAGUGCCUCUGCAUUACAACCCACUCUCUUCCUCUUCUUUCUGCUGAAGAGCAGGCAUUGGGGUUGCAAAGGAACAUGAUGGAGGCCCCCCUCAUCCGCCCUUAUUCCCCAGCUGGCAUGGGGCACAUGAAUCCCUGAUUAGACUCCUGCAAGGUUCAUCAUUCACAAAUCAUGGAUAGCAUCCUUGGACAACAAGCAAGCGGACACCAAAGCGGCAAGGCCAACUCCACUGGAUUUUCCUACUGGUGAGUUUCCCAUCAGAGGUCCCUAGUAUUGCAACCUGUUACAGAAGUGGGCACCAGUCUUUGUGGUAAAGAUUUGGGUUGAAAUAAGACCCAGUCAUUUGAACAACAUAAAUU